UACAGAGGGGGCAAGCGUUGUUCGGAAUUACUGGGCGUAAAGGGCGCGCAGGCGGUCGAGUAAGUCGAAUGUGAAAGCCCCCCGGCUUAACUGGGGGAGGGUCAUUCGAUACUGUUCGACUUGAAGGCAGGAGAGGGCAGCAGAAUUCCCGGUGUAGUGGUGAAAUGCGUAGAUAUCGGGAGGAACACCAGUGGCGAAGGCGGCUUUCUGGCCUGUUCUUGACGCUGAGGCGCGAAAGCUAGGGGAGCGAACGGG
rnacentral:rRNA from 1 species